CCUACGGGGUGCAGCAGUGAGGAAUAUUGGUCAAUGGCCGGAAGGCUGAACCAGCCAUGCCGCGUGAAGGUCAGUGCCCUAUGGGCGUUAAACUUCUUUUGUGCGGGAGCAAUAAUGGUCACGUAUGGCCAGACGAGAGUACCGUACGAAUAAGCAUCGGCUAACUCCGUGCCAGCAGCCGCGGUAAUACGGGGGAUGCAAGCGUUAUCCGGAUUUAUUGGGUUUAAAGGGUGCGUAGGCUGUGAGGUAAGUCAGCGGUGAAAUGCCCCCGCUCAACGGGAUGAAGUGCCAUUGAUACUGCCUGGCUGGAAUGCGGAUGCCGUGGGAGGAAUGUGUGGUGUAGCGGUGAAAUGCAUAGAUAUCACACAGAACACCGAGUGCGAAGGCAUCUCACGAAUCCGCGAUUGACGCUGAUGCACGAAAGCGUGGGUAUCAAACAGGAUUAGAUACCCCUGUAGUC
rnacentral:rRNA from 1 species